rnacentral:rRNA from 1 species
AACGUAGGACGCAAGCGUUAUCCGGAAUUACUGGGCGUAAAGCGCGUGCAGGCGGGUUAGCAAGUCAUGUGUGAAAGCUCCUGGCUAAACUGGGAGAGGACGGAUGAAACUGCUAAUCUUGAGGGUGCUAGAGGUAUGUGGAAUUCCACGUGUAGUGGUGAAAUGCGUAGAUAUGUGGAGGAACACCAGAGGCGAAGGCGGCAUACUGGGGCACACCUGACGCUGAGACGCGAAAGCAUGGGUAGCGAACGGG